rnacentral:rRNA from 1 species
UGUGUAAGCGCAGCGAUGCGUUGAGCUAGCCGGUACUAAUGAACCGUGAGGCUUAACCUUACAACGCCGAAG